rnacentral:rRNA from 1 species
AGUGAACGCUGGCGGUAGGCCUAACACAUGCAAGUCGAACGGCAGCACAGUAAGAGCUUGCUCUUACGGGUGGCGAGUGGCGGACGGGUGAGGAAUACAUCGGAAUCUACUUUUUUGUGGGGGAUAACGUAGGGAAACUUACGCUAAUACCGCAUACGACCUACGGGUGAAAGCAGGGGAUCUUCGGACCUUGCGCGAUUGAAUGAGCCGAUGUCGGAUUAGCUAGUUGGCGGGGUAAAGGCCCACCAAGGCGACGAUCCGUAGCUGGUAUGAGAGGAGGAUCAGCCACACAGGAAGUGAGACACGGUCCAGACACCUACGGGAGGCAGCAGUGGGAAAGAUUAGACAAUGGGCGCAAGCCUGAUCCAGCCAGACCGCGUGGGUGAAGAAGGCCUUCGGGUUGUAAAGCCAUUUUGUUGGGAAAGAAAAGCAGCAGGUUAAUACCCCGCUGUUCUGACGGUACCCAAAGAAUAAGCACCGGCUAACUUCGU